GAUGAACGCUGGCGGCGUGCCUAAUACAUGCAAGUCGAGCGAACGGACGAGAAGCUUGCUUCUCUGAUGUUAGCGGCGGACGGGUGAGUAACACGUGGAUAACCUACCUAUAAGACUGGGAUAACUUCGGGAAACCGGAGCUAAUACCGGAUAAUAUUUUGAACCGCAUGGCUCAAAAGUGAAAGACGGUCUUGCUGUCACUUAUAGAUGGAUCCGCGCUGCAUUAGCUAGUUGGUAAGGUAACGGCUUACCAAGGCAACGAUGCAUAGCCGACCUGAGAGGGUGAUCGGCCACACUGGAACUGAGACACGGUCCAGACUCCUACGGGUGGCAGCAGUAGGGAAUCUUCCGCAAUGGGCGAAAGCCUGACGGAGCAACGCCGCGUGAGUGAUGAAGGUCUUCGGAUCGUAAAACUCUGUUAUUAGGGAAGAACAUAUGUGUAAGUAACUGUGCACAUCUUGACGGUACCUAAUCAGAAAGCCACGGCUAACUACGUG
rnacentral:rRNA from 1 species